UACAGAGGGUGCAAGCGUUAAUCGGAAUUACUGGGCGUAAAGCGUGCGUAGACGGUUAUGUAAGUCAGGUGUGAAAGCCCCGGGCUCAACCUGGGAAUGGCAGUGGAAACUAGGGGACUGGAAUCUGGCAGAGGGGGGUGGAAUGCCGCGUGUAGCAGUGAAAUGCGUAGAGAUGCGGCGGAACACCGAUGGCGAAGGCAGCCCCCUGGGCUGAGAUUGACGCUCAGGCACGAAAGCGUGGGGAGCAAACAGG
rnacentral:rRNA from 1 species